rnacentral:rRNA from 1 species
AUUGAACGCUGGCGGCAGGCCUAACACAUGCAAGUCGAACGCGUGGCGGACGGGUGAGUAAUGUCUGGGGAAAUGUCCGAUGGCGGGGGAUAAAUAAUGGAAACAGUAGCUAAUAUCGCAUACCAUCAGAUGUGCCCACAUGGGAUUAGCUAGUUGGUGGGGUAACGGCUCACCAAGGCGACGAUCCCUAGCUGGUCUGAGAGGAUGACCGGCCACACUGGAACUGAGACACGGUCCAGACUCCUACGGGAGGCAGCAGUGGGGAAUAUUGCACAAUGGGCGCAAGCCUGAUGCAGCCAUGCCGCGUGUAUGAAGAAGGCCUUCGGGUUGUAAAGUACUUUCAGCGGGGAGGCGUUACCCGCAGAAGAAGCACCGGCUAACUCCGUGCCAGCAGCCGCGGUAAUUC